rnacentral:rRNA from 1 species
CCCACCCCAAGCAGGGGAUCACGUGGUUUAAUUCGACAAUAACCGGGGAACCUUACCCAGACUUGACAUCUACCGAAUUCUCUAGAGAUAGAGAAGUGCUUUUAUUAGAGCGGUAAGACAGGUGCUGCAUGGUUGUCGUCAGCUCGUGCCUUGAGGUGUUCGGUUAAGUCCGUUAACGAGCGCAACCCAUAUCGUUAGUUAUUAUGUCUAACGAGACUGCCUUGGUUAACAAGGAGGAAGGUGUGGAUGACGUCAAAUCAGCAUGGCUUUUACGUCUGGGGCUACACACAUGAUACAAUGGUGUAUACAAAGAGCAGCGAUACGGUAACGUGGAGCUAAUCUUCAAAAUACAUCUCAGUCCGGAUUGGGGUCUGCAACUCGACCUCAUGAAGUUGGAAUUGCUAGUAAUCGUGAAUCAGAUAUGUCAAGGUGAAUAUGUUCCUGGGUCCUGUACUCACCGCCCGUCACGGCAUGGGAG